CUAAAACACGCUACACCCUGAGAGCGCUUCAUAACAGUCAUUUCAUUUACGACCAUCGGCUCUGAUCAUGUGCGAUUGUUAGAGUUGGCAUACUAAACUAAAUCUUCAUUCACUUAUCCUCUGUUUAAGGACUUUGGCUUUAAUUUUGUCAUGGCAGAACCGCAGCAACAGCUGGUUGACAUCGACCCGGAUUUCGAGCCUCUCUCCCGGCCGCGAUCAUGCACCUGGCCACUGCACCGACCGGAAUCUAGCGAGCCGGGGAGCUCGAACACGUCCUCCCCGGCACCGUCCGUCAAGCCGGAGCAAAGCGUUGUGGACUUUAUCAACAGCCUAAGUUUACUAGAAGAGACCGAGGACUACCCGGAGGAGAAACCCGUCCUUUUGAACGACUUCCACUGCCAGGACAACUGCGUUCAUCCCCAGCAGCCGAAUCCCCAGCUGACUCACCCGCAACAGGUGCCGCCGCUCCCCGCCCCUGCCAGCAGCUCCAGCCCUGUAUCGGCCCAGAGGAAGAGCAGCUCGUCUCGCAGGAACGCGUGGGGGAAUAUGUCUUACGCUGACCUCAUCACCAAGGCGAUCGAGAGCUCCCCUGAGAAGCGGCUCACCCUGUCUCAGAUCUACGAGUGGAUGGUGAAGAGCGUCCCUUACUUCAAAGAUAAGGGCGACAGCAACAGUUCAGCCGGCUGGAAGAACUCAAUCAGACACAAUCUGUCCUUGCACAGUCGUUUCAUGCGCGUCCAGAAUGAAGGAACGGGGAAGAGCUCAUGGUGGAUGCUGAACCCUGAGGGGGGAAAGAGCGGCAAGUCUCCACGCCGGAGAGCCACUUCCAUGGACAAUAACAGCAAGUUCACGAAGAGCCGCGGACGAGCAGCCAAGAAAAAGAUGUCGUUGCAGAGUGGACUGGAUGGUGGUUCUAACAGUCCUGGUUCUCAGUACCCAAAAUGGCUCGGCAGCCCUAACUCUCACAGCAAUGAUGACUUCGAACCCUGGACCACCUUUCGUACCCGUGCCAGCUCUGAUGCCAGUACGCUCAGUGGCCGUCACUCACCCUUCCUACCUGAGGAGGACGAGCCCGGUGAGGUCCCCAUCGGGUACCCAGGCACCAAACUGGGCGGCCCCCUCCCCAGCCUGUCCGAAGUGACGGGUCACCACGGUUCUGAGAAUGUGAUGAUGGACAAUCUCUUAGACAACCUCAACCUCAUCUCACCCAAAAAUAACUCCCAGGGCAGCCAAGAUGCCCAAACUGCGCUGUCUUCCCCCAUGAUGCAGGGUAGUCCUGGGUACCCGUCUUACAACUCGCCCAGUAUGGGUCCUCAACCCCAAGUCCAGCAGGACUACCGGAAGUGUAGUAUGUAUGUACAGGCCGGAGUGGGCAGACUGAGUCCAAUUGCAAUACCGACUUUAUCGGACAGUCAACCAGGAGGCUACGGCCCCUUCGUGAGUCAGUACAACUGUGCUGCAGGGCUGCUCAAAGAGCUGCUGAGCGCAGAUGCCGAUCCGAGAGGGGACAUGAUGCAGCCUUUAGAGUCAUUGGGGUCUGGAGAUGGGCGACGGGUGCUACCUAGCUAUGCUAGUCUAGGACAAAUGGGACAGGGAGGCAAAAUGAUGACGCAUCCUCACCUGCAUGCGCACACACGCUCGCUUCAUCAGUUGCCCUUGCCAGCAAUGGGCAUGAAUGACCGUGCCCUUUUGCCCCACAGGCAUCCUGUUCGCCUCGGUAACAUGAAGCUACAACCACACCUGCCUCAUCACGCUCAACUGGAAAGAGGUGGAGGCGAAGCUGGGAUGCCGAAUUACACCAAUGGUUUCCACAGGCACGGACCGGGUCCUCACCACCAUCACAGCCCACUGGAGCGGCUGCCCAGUGACUUAGAUGACAUGUCGAUCGAGCAGCUGGAGUGUGAUGUAGAAACCGUCCUUCACGACACGCUCAUGGAUGGGGAUGCUCUGGACUUCAACUUCGACCCCAUGAGCAGUCAGCAGGGUUUCCCACACGGGGUCAAGACCAACACACAUAGCUGGGUAUCUGGAUAAACACAUUAUUAACUCAAAACACAUACAGAUUGGUGAGCAGGAUGUUUAUAAUCAUAUGAUAUGAAUAAAUAAUAACAAAUGUGGGUGAAUAUAUAUGUAAAUAGGUCAUAGACAUAAGCAGAAAGCUGUAGGUCAUACCAAAAGGCUGCACAUACAAGAGAGAUUUGAACCUUACAUUUCCUUCCCACCUGCUAGGACUCAAUUAUUAAAAAUGAAAUAUAAAACAAAAGUAAAAUACAUAAAUAGAUUUUUAGCAUCAUUGAAGCCCAUCUCCGCAUAAUUGUGACUUUAUUUCCCAUUAUUGUGUCUGUCUAGCAAUUCUGUCUUUAUUUCUCACAGCUGUGCCUUUUUUAUAGAUAAGAAUACAUAUCUCGCAAUUCCAUAUACAUAUCUCGCAAUUCUAAUUUUAUUUCUCAAAACUGUGACUCUAUUUCCCAUAGUUGUAAAUAUAUAUCUUGCAAUUCUGAUUUUAUUUCUCCCAAUUCUGAAUUUCUCACAACUGUGUCUCAAUUUUUCGUAGAUGUGAAUAUAUAUCUCACAACUCUGAUUUUAAUUCUUCUCAUUCUGAAUUUAUUUCUCACCAUUGUGACUUUAUUUCCUUUAGU